rnacentral:rRNA from 1 species
GUUCUCCUUGAGACUUAGAGUCUCCUGGAGGAACGUUGAAGACGACGACGUUGAUAGGCCGGGUGUGUAAGCGCAGCGAUGCGUUGAGCUAACCGGUACUAAUGAACCGUGAGGCUUAACCUUACAACGCCGAAGCUGUU